rnacentral:rRNA from 1 species
UGGGGAAUAUUGGACAAUGGGCGAAAGCCUGAUCCAGCCAUGCCGCGUGUGUGAAGAAGGUCUUCGGAUUGUAAAGCACUUUAAGUUGGGAGGAAGGGCAGUAAGCGAAUACCUUGCUGUUUUGACGUUACCGACAGAAUAAGCACCGGCUAACUCUGUGCCAGCAGCCGCGGUAAGACAGAGGGUGCAAGCGUUAAUCGGAAUUACUGGGCGUAAAGCGCGCGUAGGUGGUUCGUUAAGUUGAAUGUGAAAGCCCCGGGCUCAACCUGGGAACUGCAUCCAAAACUGGCGAGCUAGAGUAGGGCAGAGGGUGGUGGAAUUUCCUGUGUAGCGGUGAAAUGCGUAGAUAUAGGAAGGAACACCAGUGGCGAAGGCGACCACCUGGGCUCAUACUGACACUGAGGUGCGAAAGCGUGGGGAGCAAACAGG